GCCUCCUUAGCUCAAUAGGUAGAGCAACGCACUUGUAAUGCGUAGGUUGACAGUUCGAUUCUGUUGGGGGGCU
rnacentral:tRNA from 1 species